ACCCGCGUCUACCCGGUUCCGUGUACUGGAAAU
rnacentral:miRNA from 1 species